GAUGAACGCUGGCGGCGUGCUUAACACAUGCAAGUCGAACGGACUUUAUAUGAAACCUAGUGAUUGUAAAGUUAGUGGCGGACGGGUGAGUAACGCGUGAAUAACCUGCCCUGUACCGGGGGACAACAGUUGGAAACGGCUGCUAAUACCGCAUAAGCGCACGGUUCCGCAUGGAACAGUGUGAAAAACUCCGGUGGUACAGGAUGGAUUCGCGUCUGAUUAGCCAGUUGGUGGGGUAACGGCCUACCAAAGCAACGAUCAGUAGCCGGCCUGAGAGGGUGAACGGCCACAUUGGGACUGAGACACGGCCCAAACUCCUACGGGAGGCAGCAGUGGGGAAUAUUGCACAAUGGGGGAAACCCCGAUGCAGCGACGCCGCGUGAGUGAAGAAGUUAUUCGUAACGUAAAGCUCUAUCAGCAGGGAAGAAAAUGACGGUACCUGACUAAGAAGCACCGGCUAAAUACGUGCCAGCAGCCGCGGUAA
rnacentral:rRNA from 1 species